GGGGAAUUUUGGACAAUGGGCGCAAGCCUGAUCCAGCAAUGCCGCGUGCAGGAUGAAGGCCUUCGGGUUGUAAACUGCUUUUGUACGGUACGAAAAGCCUCUCUCUAAUACAGGGGGGUGAUGACGGUACCGUAAGAAUAAGCACCGGCUAACUACGUGCCAGCAGCCGCGGUAAUACGUAGGGUGCAAGCGUUAAUCGGAAUUACUGGGCGUAAAGCGUGCGCAGGCGGUUUUGUAAGACAGUGGUGAAAUCCCCGGGCUCAACCUGGGAACUGCCAUUGUGACUGCAAGGCUGGAGUGCGGUAGGGGUGACUGGAAUUCCUGGUGUAGCGGUGGAAUGCGAAGAUAUCAGGAGGAACACCGAUGGCGAAGGCAGGUCACUGGGCCGCAACUGACGCUGAGGAGCGAAAGCAUGGGGAGCGAACA
rnacentral:rRNA from 1 species